rnacentral:rRNA from 1 species
UGGGGAAUAUUGCACAAUGGAGGGAACUCUGAUGCAGCGACGCCGCGUGAACGAAGAAGGCUUUCGAGUCGUAAAGUUCUCUUAUAUGGGAAGAUAAUGACGGUACCAUAAGAAAAAGCCCCGGCUAACUACGUGCCAGCAGCCGCGGUAAUACGUAGGGGGCUAGCGUUGUCCGGAAUCACUGGGCGUAAAGGGUUCGCAGGCGGAAAUGCAAGUCAGGUGUAAAAGGCAGUAGCUUAACUACUGUAAGCAUUUGAAACUGCAUAUCUUGAGAAGAGUAGAGGUAAGUAGAAUUUUUAGUGUAGCGGUGAAAUGCGUAGAUAUUAAAAAGAAUACCGGUGGCGAAGGCGACUUACUGGGCUCAUUGUGACGCUGAGGAACGAAAGCGUGGGUAGCAAACAGG